rnacentral:rRNA from 1 species
UCUAAGUAUAACCUGCCAGACAGGGAAACUGCGUACGGCUCAUUACACCAGCCUUAAUUUACUUGACCUUGACAACCUACUUGGAUAACUGUGGUAAUUCUAGAGCUAAUACAUGCACCAAAGCUCCGAUCCUCGCGGAGAGGAGCGCAUUUGUUCGCCACAAAACCAAGCCCCCAUCUGGGCGUCCAGUGCUGAACCAGAACAACUCAGCUGAUCGCACGGUCUUGUACCGGCGACGUGUCUUUCAAGUGUCUGCCUUAUCAACUUUCGAUGGUAGUGUACCUGACUACCAUGGUUGUGACGGGUAACGGAGGAUAAGGGUUCGACUCCGGAGAAGGGGCCUGAGAAAUGGCCACUACGUCUAAGGAUGGCAGCAGGCGCGCAAAUUACCCACUCUCAACGCGAGGAGGUACUGACGAGAAAUAACGAGACCGUUCUCAUACGAGGCCGGUUAUUGGAAUGGGUACAAUUUAAA